AAUGCAAUGAUGAAUAAGCUAACAUGUAAGAAGAUGCCAUUUUAUGUGGUUUCUUCCAUGAAAUUUUUUGUUACGCUUGGCUUCUGAGCAUU